rnacentral:rRNA from 1 species
UGCAAUUCGCCCUCAUGAAGUUGGAAUCGCUAGUAAUCGCGAAUCAGCAACGUCGCGGUGAAUACGUUCUCAAGUCUUGUACUCACCGCCCGUCACAUUAGGGAAGUCGGUAAUACCCGAAAUUCUUUGCUUGCAAAGACCAACGGUAAGAUCGGUGACCAGAAUGAAGUCGUAACAAGGCAUCCGUAGCGGAAGCUGUGGAUGGAUCACCUCCUUU